AUUGAACGCUGGCGGCAGGCUUAACACAUGCAAGUCGAACGAGUGGCGGACGGGUGAGUAAUGCUUGGGAAUCUGGCUUAUGGAGGGGGAUAACUACGGGAAACGGUAGCUAAUACCGCGUACCAUAGGAUGAGCCCAAGUGGGAUUAGGUAGUGGGUGGGGUAAAGGCUCACCAAGCCGACGAUCUCUAGCUGGUCUGAGAGGAUGACCAGCCAAACUGGGACUGAGACACGGCCCAGACGCCUACGGGAGGCAGCAGUGGGGAAUAUUGCGCAAUGGGCGCAAGCUGACGGAGCCAUGCCGCGUGAAUGAAGAAGGCCUUCGGGUUGUAAAGUGCUUUCGGUAGCGAGGCGUUAACUACAGAAGAAGCACCGGCUAACUCCGUGCCAGCAGCCGCGGUAAUAC
rnacentral:rRNA from 1 species